UACGGAGGGGGCGAGCGUUGUUCGGAAUCAUUGGGCGUAAAGAGCUCGUAGGCGGUUUGUCGCGUCUGCUGUGAAAACUCGGGGCUUAACUCCGGGCCUGCAGUGGGUACGGGCAGACUAGAGUGCGGUAGGGGAGACUGGAAUUCCUGGUGUAGCGGUGAAAUGCGCAGAUAUCAGGAGGAACACCGGUGGCGAAGGCGGGUCUCUGGGCCGUAACUGACGCUGAGGAGCGAAAGCGUGGGGAGCGAACAGG
rnacentral:rRNA from 1 species